UCUUUGGUUUUCUACAUUCUAACACACCCUACUUGAGUUUGAACCUUGAAAUGAUCUCAGCAUAAACCUAAACACUCUCGCCUUCUUUUAAACUUCAUAUUUUAAUCUGGGGGCGGAGAUAAACUAACCAAGAGGCAUUUGCUGGAGCCACUCACAAGGAAGGCUGCUUGAGGCUGCUGCUUGAGCCUUCCUCCAAUCUAGCCUCAUAUACAGAUUCUGAGUCUGAAUCCUGGAACCUCAACUUGUUCUUGAACUAUGAGGUUGGUAACAGGACUUACCAUUCUCCUAACUUUGGAAAGUCCUGUACCUUGGUCCUGCCUCACGUCAGCCUGAGCGAUGCCGCUGUCUACUACUGCA